rnacentral:lncRNA from 1 species
UCUCAGGAUCCCAGGAUCCUAGGAACUUGAUCACACCAGGAUCUCAGGGUCUCAGAGGCAGCUUGACUCUCAGGAACUCUAAUAUAACCAGAAUCUCAGGAUCACAGAGAAAUCUGGACUUUGAGGAAUUCUGACUCAACCAGGAUUACAGGAAGGACAGGCUCCAAUUAGAUAUAUAGCAAGAGCAGGGAGCACUUGAGAUAAUUAGAUGGUGGGAGGCAAGCGUAAGAACAGAAGCAACAGAAACCAAGGUUACUUGGCAUCAUCAGAACCUAUCAUCACACCAGAAAAGCAACAUAUGUAUCUAAAGUCACUUCUCAUGACAGUGAUGGAGGAAUUUAAGAAGGACAUAAAUAACUCACUUUAAGAAAUACAAGAGAACACGGGUAAACAGGUAGAAGCCCUUGAAGAGGAAACAUAAAAAAUCCCUUAAAGAAUUACAGAAAAACACAACAAAACAGGUGAAGGAACUGAAUAAAACCAUUAACAAGCUAAAAAUGGAAGUAGAAACAAUAAAAACAUCACAAAGGGAGGGAGAUAACUCUGGAGAUAGAAAAUCUAGGAAAGAAGUCAGGAGCCAUAGAUGCAAGCAUUACCAACAGAAUACAAGAGGUAGAAGAGAGAAUCUCAGGUACAGAAGAUACCACAGAAAACAUUGACACAGCAAUCAAAGAAAAUGCAAAAUGCAAAAAUGAUCCUAACUCAAAGCAUCCAGGAACUCCAGGACACAAUGAGAAGAGCAAACCUGAGUAUAGUAGGUAUAGAAGACAGUGAAGAUUUCCAACUUAAAGGGCCAGUAAAUAUCUUCAACAAAAUUAGAGAAGAAAACUUCCCUAACCUGAAAAAAGAGAUGCCCAUGAACAUACAAGAAACCUAUAGAACUCCAAAUAGAUUGGAGCAGAAAAGAAAUUCCUCCUGUCAAUAAUAAUCAAAACACCAAAUGCACAAAACAAAGAUAGAAUAUUAAAAGCAGUAAGGAAAAAAGGUCAAGUAACAUAUAAAGGCAGACCUAUCAAAUUACACCAAACUUCUUGCCAGAGAUUAUGAAAACCAGAAGAUCCUGGGCAGAUGUCAUACAGACCCUAAGAGGACACAAAUGCCAGCCUAGGCUACUAUACCCAGCAAAACUCUCAAUUACCAUAGAUGGAGAAACUAAGGUAUUCCAUGACAAAAACAAAUUUAAACAAUAUAUCUUUCCAUAAGUCCAGCCCUUCAAAGGACAAUAAAUGGAAAACUCAAACCAAAGGAGGGAAACUAUGCCCUAGAAAAAGCAAGGAAAUAAUCUUUCAACAAACCUAAAAGAAGAUAGCCACAUGAACAGAAUUCCAACUCUAACAACAAAAAUAACAGGAAACAAUAAUUACUUUUACUUAAUAUCUCUUAAUAUCAAUGGACUCAUUUUCCUAAUAAAAAAGAUAUAAAUUAAAAGACUGGGUACAUAAACAGGACCCAGCAUUUUGCUGCAUACAGAAACCCACCUCAGUGACAAAGACAGACACUACCUCAGAGUAAAAGGCUGGAAAACAAUUUUCCAAGCAAAUGGUCCCAAGAAACAAGCUGGAGUAGCCAUUCUAAUAUUGAAUAAAAUCGACUUUCAACCUAAAGUUAUCAAAAAAGAUAAGGAAGGAUACUUCAUACUCAUCAAAGGUAAAAUCUACCAAGGUAACUCUCAAUUCUGAAUAUCUAUGCUCCAAGAUAUUUUUAAUGCAAGGGCAUCCACAUUCAUUAAAGAAAUUUUAGUAAAGCUCAAAGCACACAUUGUACUAUACACAAUAAUAGUGGGAGACUUCAACAUCCCACUGUCAUCAAAGGACUGAUCCUGGAAACAGAAACUAUACAGAGACACAGUGAAAGUAAUAGAAGUUAUGAACCAAAUGGAUUUAACAGAUAUUUCUAGAACAUUUUAUACUAAAACAAUAGAAUAUAUCUUCUUCUCAACACCUCAUGGAACCUUCUUCAAAAUUGACCAUAUAAAAAUUCUCACAAACCAAAUCCAAGAAUACAUUGAAAGGAUCAUCCAUCAUGAUCAAGUAGGCAUCAUCCCAGGGAUUCAGGGAUGGUUCAGUAUAUGGAAAUACAUCAAUGUAAUACACUAUAUAAAGAAAC